rnacentral:misc_RNA from 1 species
GAUGAAGAACGUAGCGAAAUGCGAUAAGUAGUGUGAAUUGCAGAAUUCCGUGAAUCAUCGAAUCUUUGAACGCACAUUGCGCCUUCUGGUAUUCCGGAAGGCAUGCCUGUUCGAGAGUCAUUAACAACCGUUUCGAUCCCUUUCUUUCAGAAAUUACAAAGAGGAAAAGGGUUUGGUUAUGGUGGAGGAGGGAAAGGGAGCGUUUAGCCUGUAAAAAAAGAGGCUGUGUUCCGCCUCCCCCCCAAAAUUGUACAGGCGGUCGUGUGCGCCCACGCAUCGAGGUGUUGUAAAAGCUGCCACGGCACUUUUCACCUGUGCAGUGCGAGAUUGGCCAGCCGGUUUAAAAACCCCUCCAAACAAUCAAAGGUUGACCUCGGAUCAGGUAGGGAUACCCGCUGAACUUAAGCAUAUCAAAAGCGGAGGA